rnacentral:rRNA from 1 species
AACGAACGCUGGCGGCAGGCUUAACACAUGCAAGUCGAACGGCUGUAGCAAUACAGCAGUGGCAGACGGGUGAGUAACACGUGGGAACCUUCCUAGGGGUACGGAACAACUCAGGGAAACUUGAGCUAAUACCGUAUACGUCCGUAAGGAGAAAGAUUCAUCGCCCCUAGACGGGCCCGCGUCGGAUUAGGUAGUUGGUGGGGUAACGGCCUACCAAGCCUACGAUCCGUAGCUGAUCUGAGAGGAUGAUCAGCCAUACUGGGACUGAGACACGGCCCAGACUCCUACGGGAGGCAGCAGUGGGGAAUCUUGGACAAUGGGCGCAAGCCUGAUCCAGCCAUGCCGCGUGAGUGAAGAAGGCCCUAGGGUUGUAAAGCUCUUUUACCAGGGACGAUAAUGACGGUACCUGGAGAAUAAGCCCCGCAAACUUCGUGCCAGCAGCCGCCGCA